rnacentral:rRNA from 1 species
UACGUAGGGUGCAAGCGUUGUCCGGAAUUAUUGGGCGUAAAGAGCUCGUAGGCGGUCUGUUGCGUCGGCUGUGAAAACCCGGGGCUCAACCCCGGGCCUGCAGCCGAUACGGGCAGACUAGAGUUCGGCAGGGGAGACUGGAAUUCCUGGUGUAGCGGUGAAAUGCGUAGAGAUUCGGGAGGAACACCAGUGGCGAAGGC